UAAAGACAAAUUAAUUGGUUAAAGCUAAUAAAUAACUACUAUUAAGUACAACAACUCUACUUAUUAUUGUAAGAGUAAAAUCUUUAUAAAUAAGAUAGGAAUGUGUUAAUGUAACAUUAAUUCUCUUACGAGGCGCUAGCAUAAAGACUAGGAUUAGAUACCCUAUUAUGGGCGUGAGUAUGAAAGUUUAUUAAGUUAAUAGCCUUAAUUAAAGCAAAACCUAUUUACUAUGGCGGCUGUUAGUCUCACCAGAGUCGUAUGUCCUUAAACGAAACUGCGCGAUCAUCUUACCUUUUAACUUUUGCUAAUAUAAAAUAAUUACAUUAUAGCAAUCUGGCACGUCGCUGUACUAAAAGUGAAGAUUUUAAAUAACUCAUCUUCUAAUUACUUAUUAGCAUUUAUUAAUAAUGUACAAGUCAAGACGCCGUUUUAAGAGGCUUAAGAUGUACGAUUUAAUUGAUUUGAUAGAAUUUAUAAGAAUGAAAACUUUCUUUAUUAAAAUAAUUUGGAAGUAAAAUAGGGUUAUUAUUCUUAUUUGAAAUGAGCUACUAAUAAGU
rnacentral:rRNA from 1 species